rnacentral:rRNA from 1 species
UACAGAGGAUGCAAGCGUUAUCCGGAAUGAUUGGGCGUAAAGCGUCUGUAGGUGGCUUUUAAGUCCGCCGUCAAAUCCCAGGGCUCAACUCUGGACAGGCGGUGGAAACUACCAAGCUUGAGUAUGGUAGGGUAGAGGGAAUUCCAGUGGAGCGGUGAAAUGCGUAGAUAUUGGAAAGACCACCGAUGGCGAAGGCACUCUACUGGGCCACUACUGACACUGAGAGACGAAAGCUAGGGGAGCAAAUGGG